CCUCUCUCAUGAUAACAACCACCUGGUAACAGCUUUUCCCCUGGGGACUGCGUAGACUUCCUGUGAUAAGUCAUCUCUUGCAUCUGCUUCCCCACGUCACAGCCGAACGAACUCUCAUCAUCAGGAGAACAAAUUUCGUAACCCAGGCCCCGGAAAAGCCAUUUUUUUCCAGCUGCUCGCUCCUGGCUGCGUGUGACCCGGGGAUCAUAAUGACUAUGCACCCACCGCCUACACAACCUCCACCACCACAGUCACUGUCCCCGCUCUGAGCAAGGAUCCUGAUGGCACUGUCAAGAAGAGAAGUCAUGUGUGAGGACCAGAAGUAUCUGAAGGGCGAGCCCCAGGAACGGACAGUGUCCCUACACCAUGCACAGCGAGUUCCAGCCUGCUCCAGCUUCACACCCACAGCCCAACCCCUUCUCCUUCCUCGCCUGUCUCUGUGCCAGAUAAAACAAAUGCUGCUUUCAUGGAGUGCAGAAGUGAUCGCAUGAUGCUCAAAAGAAAGGUGGGAAGAGCGGAGAUGUAGUACGUGGCCCAUCUCCAGCCAAGUCCCAUCUCAGCCCCAGGAGCUGCUGCUUCACAGGAAAGCAAGGAAUCUGCCAGGGGACUUCAGCCUUCAGGAUGAUGUGUGGCUCCACAUCUGCCCUCCCCUGACCUCCCAGUGAUUGCCUGACAGACCACAACAACUUUUGGACUUGAGGGGUUUUGCUUGCCUUCUUCCAAAUCAGCAGAGGCUGCUCACACUUGGAGCCGGGAUGCUGGGAGCAGUGAGAUGCCACCCGCAAACUGUAUUCAGAAAUCUUGUAUUCAGGAAGAAGAAGGUGCAGUUUGCAGAAGGUCAAAGUCACCCCAGCCACCAGACCUGAGGUCAGGAAGGUGCACCCCUCCAGCACUGCCCUAGAGCCCUGCCAGAGAGGGAGGGAGGGCUGGUUGUCAAAUGGGCAUCUCACACCCAAACUGCUCAGCUACAGCAGGCAUCCUGGGACUCAGGCACGGGCUUCAUCCUCUUCUCUUAGGAUGCUGGCUUUAAGGCCUGACCAUAACAUUUUUUACUGAUCAUAACAAUUUAUUUUUAUCCAUAAGGCCUUAAGAAGCUCACAGAAAGUAUAAUUUCCUGCUCCUCUGCAUUCCACUGUAGGUGAACUGCUUCCAGCAGACUAGCCACUGGAAGACAAACAUUUUAAUUACAUUGGUUUUAUGAUGUAUUUUAUUUAAAAGAGUCUUUCAUUUUCACUUGGUAUCCAGGAAUUUUACUAUUAUGUUGAUCUUGCAGGAACUAAACAGUAUUUACAGGACAUAGUAACUUUAAUUUUCUGUUGACCUAUAGUCAAGACUAUCCCAGCAUAGAAAAAAAUCCAAGGCAAAAAGGUGCAAAGAAAUAGAAGGAACAUAGUCUUACAUUACUAAAAUAUAUAUAUAUAUAUAUAUAAAAAAAAAAAAGUAUAAAAAUAAAAACCUAAUGUAGAUAUUAUUUUCUCCUUUUCCUUUGGAGCUAUUAAUCUCUGCAGAGCUGUACCACUUCACUAAUAAGUUUCUGGGAGAAGACUUGGAAAAUCUGAAAUGAAUUCCAGGCCUCAGAUAAUGAAAAAGGCUGCAGGAUCAUUUGCUUACAAAAAGUAAUGUCCAAAAUGCUGCUUAGAAUUUUUUUUAUUUUUUUAAACAGCCACAGAGAAGUCAGACCUGCCCUGAGUGAGGUUAGACUGAAGACUAUUUAUAGAAUUUCCAUAAGACUUUGUAAGGGUUGUUGAAAGUUCAUUGCAGGGAGUAUCUGCUCUUUUCAGCUUUCAGCCUUCUUAACAAUCCCAAGUUAAUAAACUUUAGGAAAGUGCAGGCUUUGCUUCUCUGUGCAGCUUGUACUCUUCAGGCCUUGCACAGAUGAAGCCAUAACAUAAAUUACAAACUACGUAUAUAAACUGACAGUUCACUGACAUUACUAAACCAUUAUGUUUUUAUUAGAUAAAAUCUGAGAAUGCUUCUUAUUUUCUCAGAUAUUAAGAUGUCUACAGUUUGUUUAAUAUAUAACAAAAUUAAAUCAAUUAGUACCUUGCUGUGAGCAAAAAAAUAUAAUCAUUUGAACAUGGGGCACAAGAGGAUUGGUGUUACAAGAUCAACAUCUAAGAGCAGAAGCACAGUAUUAGAUAUCCUGCCCCUGAAAAUCUGUUGAAAGUUGCUUUUCAAAACUCAGUAUGGGAAGAAUUGAUCUUGAGGUGGACCAAAAGUGUAAGGAAAAUAUGAAAAUUGAUAAAAGUUUUUCUCUCGUCCUUACUGUGCAUACUUGGUAAUUUUGUGUUCUCCUGCCAUAAUCUGUAUUUACUCCAUUUACAUUCAAGGGUUCUUUACUGUAUUUUUGCUGCCAAUUUCAGUAUGUUAAUGCAAUUCACACAACUAUUUUCUUGCUUUCAUUCUGAGCCAUAUGAAGGCCAGCAAUUUGAACUCUAGGAUUUAUACUUGUCUUCUUAGGAGACUUCAGAGAUGUGUGGUUUUUGAUAAAAGAUAUCUGAGUUGUUAUUUUCACUUCUAAUAAGAUCUGUGCUUUCAAAUUAUAUUUUCAUUUUCACAACAGAGAUUCAUUUUGGCUCUUGAGUUUUGAUUACAACAUGCCAGAAACCCUGUGUUUUCAUAAUACCAAAUAAAAAAAACAUACAUUUUAAGCAUUUUUCAGCAACCAAGUGUGAAAAGUUGAAGGAAUCUGUUAACAUAUUGAUUGCUUUGAGCACUGCUUUAAAUUAGCUUUCUGUUCCUCUCCAUAUGGUUUCCCAUUAAAUUUAAAUAAAUUAAAGUUCAAUUAUCUGGAAGAGAGGUGUAGAGUCCUUCUCAAGCUGCCGGAUGAAUUAUCUCCCAGCCUCCUCUGUCAGAAAUUCAUCAGGACGUCUGCCUUUGGGUAUUGUGUGUGCCACUACAACCAACCACCUUUAGCCAAGAUUUCCACGCUGGUGCCAAGCACGUUUUCAGAAAUAGCCUCGUGAUUGGAAAUGACUUUCUCUCUACACUAUUAUGUGAGUCAUCCCUGUAAGAAAAAAAUAAAUAAAAUAAAAAGUUCAUCGACUGGAGAGGCUCUGCUUUGACACACACAACAGUUUUCAGUCUGCAGAGAUGCAGCAGACAUAAACAGGGGGA